GAUGAACGCUGGCGGCGUGCCUAAUACAUGCAAGUCGAGCGAACAGACGAGGAGCUUGCUCCUUUGACGUUAGCGGCGGACGGGUGAGUAACACGUGGAUAACCUACCUAUAAGACUGGGAUAACUUCGGGAAACCGGAGCUAAUACCGGAUAACAUGUUGAACCGCAUGGUUCAACAGUGAAAGACGGUCUUGCUGUCACUUAUAGAUGGAUCCGCGCCGCAUUAGCUAGUUGGUAAGGUAACGGCUUACCAAGGCAACGAUGCGUAGCCGACCUGAGAGGGUGAUUGGCCACACUGGAACUGAGACACGGUCCAGACUCCUACGGGAGGCAGCAGUAGGGAAUCUUCCGCAAUGGGCGAAAGCCUGACGGAGCAACGCCGCGUGAGUGAAGAAGGUCUUCGGAUCGCAAAACUCUGUUAUUAGGGAAGAACAAAUGUGUAAGUAACUAUGCACGUCUUGACGGUACCUAAUCAGAAAGCCACGGCUAACUACGUG
rnacentral:rRNA from 1 species